GGGGAAUAUUGCACAAUGGGCGCAAGCCUGAUGCAGCCAUGCCGCGUGUGUGAAGAAGGCCUUCGGGUUGUAAAGCACUUUCAGCGGGGAGGAAGGCGGUGAGGUUAAUAACCUUGUCGAUUGACGUUACCCGCAGAAGAAGCACCGGCUAACUCCGUGCCAGCAGCCGCGGUAAUACGGAGGGUGCAAGGGUUAAUCGGAAUUACUGGGCGUAAAGCGCACGCAGGCGGUCUGUCAAGUCGGAUGUGAAAUCCCCGGGCUCAACCUGUGAACUGCAUUCGAAACCGGCAGGCUAGAGUCUUGUAGAGGGGGGUAGAAUUCCAGGUGUAGCGGUGAAAUGCGUAGAGAUCUGGAGGAAUACCGGUGGCGAAGGCGGCCCCCUGGACAAAGACUGACGCUCAGGUGCGAAAGCGUGGGGAGCAAAC
rnacentral:rRNA from 1 species